UCUCUCUUUUUUGUCUAAUCUUAGAAGUAAACUUCAAAACAAAUAUACCAAUCCAAUCACUUCAACUAAAACUCAACGACACAUACAUCGAGUCAGCUAAAGAAAUACAAACUACACAGCUAGCUAUUUAACAAUUUACAAACUUACUUUCGCAACGAAGAAGACGAAGACGACAACCAAAAUCAGUAAAAUUACCUAAACAAAAAAACAAAGUAAAUUACGAACUCUGAUAAAUACUGCUAACAAUGAUUUUUGUUUACAUAUUACCCGUCAAAUAAAAGAUAAACAAACACAUCUACACGAGGAGAUACAAGAGACAAUCCUGACAGACACAAAGACAACAACAACAUCUCCACCUGCUCCCUACUCUUGUCUUAUAAAAAUAGCUUACAUGCCCAAUAUCAACAUGCCAAUGCUAUUGUC
rnacentral:lncRNA from 1 species